GGGUGUUGAGUUAAGGCUGCUGACCUUGUCUGACAUUGAUGAAGAACACAUGAUACAUAGACGGAUUACAGCCCAGCUCACACAGAGAGCAGUCUACAACAGGCCCCGCUCACAUAGAGCGCAGUCUACAACAGGCCUCACUCAUACAGAGAGCAGUCUACAACAGGCCGCACUCAUACAGAGAGCAGUCUACAACAGGCCACACUCAUACAGAGAGCAGUCUACAACAGGCCCCACUCACACAGAGAGCAGUCUACAACAGGCCCCACUCACACAGACAGUAGUCUACAACAGAACCCAUUCACACAGUGAGCAGUCUACAAUAGGCACACACUGGGGGUAGUAGUCUAGUCAUACAGUACAUAGAUACUAAUACACUGGGGGUAUUCCUGAUCAAACACAUGGUCAGAGUCCCUAACACUUCCAGGGGGAGGGAGUGGGAGUGAAACUGAGGGCCCUUACCUUACUGUACCUGUGGAUUCUCUAACCAUCUACCAUAUUGCUAUCUUUAAAAUAUGACUUGUGCUCUUAUUCAAGGUUGCUAGACUCUCUGUAAUACAAUAUUAAUAUGUUCACUACUGUAAAUGGGUCAGAAAUUACAAUGUGAGUGUGCAUAGGAAAAUUAUUAUAUUUAUUAUUAAGUUAUAUAAUGUAAAUACAUAUAAAAACAUGAAUGAUUUUCUUUGUGUUCUUUCUGUUUUUAAUUGUUUUUUAGCUUUCUGUCCUCGUGCUGCCCUUAAUAAGUCCUUGCUCCCACCGAGCGCUUUUUCAGCUAUACAGCCAGUUGAAACUCGUCCAAAACACUCAAUCAUCCAAGAACUAGGCCGGAGCUAUCUUUAGUCGAUUUAAGGAUCAAAAGUAUAAAAUUGCAACACAAAAAGUCACAGCAUACAAAACAUGCACAUACUAAGUAGCUAACAUGUUGAUAGCAGCUAGCUACGUUCAUUUCAAUAGGAACGGCUAAUCCGGUUUAGGCUAGUGACAAUAUAUCUGUAAAAGUAACACAAACAUAUGAUAUGUAAGUGUUAAUAAAACAACCAGGAAUGUUACUACUUACAGAUGAUGCCAACUGAAGGGUUAUAAAGGACAGGAUGGAGGUGGAUAAAACAGUAUAUCUUGGUUAGACUGAACACUAAACAGCAGUAAACAAAAAAAUCAUUCAUUUCAUAUGAAUGGCACUUCUUCUGCAAUAUAAAGACCAUUAGGUGGGAGCAAAGGCAAAACAUGCUUAAUGUGGUCCAUGAUGCAACAACAUGGUUUCAGAAUCAACUAGGACAGGGAAUGUGGGACAUUUAGAAACUUUGAAUUACUCACAUGUCAAACGAUAUUUUCCUAGUUUCUAAAUAUUAGCUUUGUCAUGUUAUAUUUUUGGUAUUUUAAUUUAACUUUUUAUUACGUUUAUAUUAUUCAUAAAUGUCUGCACUAAAUGCCUGUGAAGUUCUUAACUUAAGGUGCACUUUAUGUAUUUUUGUUACUUUCUCAUUAUUGAAUGUUAUUGGUUUUGUAGAAAUGGAGGUCAGGUGGGGCUUCUGACCAAUGAUACUGGAUUAUUACUGAUUACUCAUUGUCGUAGGAACUCUGAUCUACAAAGCAAAGUAAUGAAUGAUAAUAUAAAGUGCAAACAAUGUUUUUAAAUGUCUGAAGAUAUUUAGACUUUAUAGCACAUUGUAACAGCUGCAUAUAUUGGCCAUCCCCCUCAAGCCAACUCCAGAUCCCUUCAUAGACAUACGGAUCUCAUACGCAAGUGGCUUGUGUUCUUUUUUUAUCCUUCCCAUGAGUGAAAAUGCUCCUCUUUUGCAGUUUCCUUAUAGCUACUAUUCAAUUAAAUCACAAAGCGCUUAACUUCAGAGUCAAAGGAAAGUCCUGGAGAGAGAAAUGUAAAGGUUGUAUUCAUGACUAACAUAUUUUUAUAUUUGCCAGGUGAGAGUAUAAAAACAAUGGGUGUGUGAAUGUACUUCAGUCAGAUUGAAUGCUCACUCAGUUGUCACUGCUUCAUGGACAGCUUCCAUUUUGAUCUUGUCUGCUAUUCAAAUGACUGAAUAAAAUUAUUCAAAUGGUUCCCUACCCACAAGAUAGCUCAUUUGGACAACUAUAAAACCAUACUGUAUGUGUGAGGAAUUGUACUAUUCUUUCAAAAAGGACUUUAAAAGGACUUGUUUUCCAACUUUCAAUGUACAUUAGUUGACUGUAAAAUGUAAAUUAGUUGGCUGUAAAUAUUCAGAUGCAUGUUUUAUUAUUUGUCCUGAUCUCAAACAGAAACACAUACAGUAUACACAGUGUCCUGAAUCUGGUCUGGGAUCUGUGAUAGACAUCUGGGAUAUACAUCUGGGAAAUACAUCUGGUCUGGGUUCUGUGAUUGACAUCUGGGAUAUACAUCUGGUCUGGGUUCUGUGAUGGACAUCCUAGCCAUUCAAGGGUUUUUCUUUAUUUUUUAAAACUAUUUUCUACAUUGUAGGAUAGUAGUGAAAACAUCAAAACUAUGAAAUAACACAUAUGGAAUCAUGUAGUAACCAAAAAAAGUGUUAAACAAAUCCAAAAAUAUAUAUUUUUUCAGAUUCUUCAAAGUAGCCACCCUUUGCCUUGAUGACAGCUUUGCACACUCUUGACGUUUUCUCAACCAGCUUCACUUGGAAUGAUUUUCCCACAGUCUUGAAGGAGUUCCCACAUAUGCUGAGCACUUAUUGGCUGCUUUUCCUUCACUUUGUGGUCCAACUCAUCGCAAACCAUCUCAACUGGGUUGAGGUUGGGUGAUUGUGGAGGCCAGAUCAUCUGAUGCAGCACUCCAUCACUCUCCUUAUUGGUCAAAUAGCCUUUACACAGCCUGGAGGUGUGUUGGGUCAUUGUCCUGUUGAAGAAAAAAAUGAUAGUCCCACUAAGCGCAAACUAGAUGGGACGGUGUAGAAUUCUGUGGUAGCCAUGCUGGUUAAGUGUGCCUUGAAUUCUAAAUAAAUCACUGACAGUGUCACCAGCAAAGCACCACCACUCCAUGACACCUCCUUCUCCAUGCUUCAUGAUGGGAACCAUACCUUCAGAGAUCAUCUGUUCACCUACUCUGCGUCUCACAAAGACACGGCGGUUGGAACCAAAAACAAAACUUUGGGCAUCAGACCAAAGGACAUAUUUCCACCGAUCUAAUGUCUAUUGCUCGUGUUUCUUGGCCCAAGAAAGUAUUUUCUUCUUAUUGGUGCCCUUUAGUAGUGCCCUUUAGUAGUAGUGGUUUCUUUGCAGUAAUUCGACCAUGAAGGCCUGAUUCACGAAGUCUCUCGUGAACAGUUGAGAUGUGUGUGUUACUUGAGCUCUGUAAAGCUUUUAUUUGGGCUGCAAUUUCUGAGGCUGGUAACUCUAAUGAACUUAUCCUCUGCAGAGUCUUCCUUUCCUGUGUUGGUCCUCAUGGGAGCCAGUUUCAUCAUAGCGCUUGAUGGUUUUUGCGACUGCACUUUAAGAAACUUUCAAAGUUCUUGACAUUUUCCGGAUUGACUGACAUUAAUUUGAAAUGCAUUCCAGGUGACUACCUCAUGAAGCUGGUUGAGAGAAUUCCAAGAAUGUGCAAAGCUGUCAUCAAGGCAAAGGUUCGCUUUGAAGAAUCUCAAAUAUAAAAUAUAUUUUGAUUUGUUUAGCACUUUUUUGGUUACUUAUCUGGGAUAGACAUGUGGGAUAUACAUGUGGGAUAGACAUCUGGGAUAGACAUGUGGGAUAUACAUGUGGGAUAUACAUCUGGGACACACAUCUGGGAUAUACAUGUGGGAUAUACAUGUGGGAUAUACAUGUGGGAUAUACAUCUGGGAUAUACAUGUGGGAUAUACAUGUGGGAUAUACAUCUGGGAUAUACAUGUGGGAUAUACAUCUGGGAUAUACAUGUGGGAUAUACAUCUGGGAUAUACAUGUGGGAUAUACAUCUGGGAUAUACAUCUGGGAUAUACAUGUGGGAUAUACAUCUGGGAUAUACAUGUGGGAUAUACAUCUGGGAUAUACAUGUGGGAUAUACAUCGGGGAUAUACAUCUGGGAUAUACAUGUGGGAUAUACAUCUGGGAUAUACAUCUGGGAUAUACAUGUGGGAUAUACAUCUGGGAUAAAGUAAUGAAGCUGUAUCCUUUCCACCAGACCUCCAACCAGACAAAACGCAAAACUCUGAAGCGUUCUAGUUUUAUAAUUGUAUUUUUAUUUAAAUGUAUUUGCUUGCUGAGCAGAGUUCUUUAGUCUGUAAAUGUGAGCUUGCAGAGCGCUGUGAUGAAAUAUUAAUUAAAAACUAAAAUAAUGUGUUUUUAUCUCAUGAUAACUGAUUGUAAUCUGUACAGUCAACCCUAUGUAUUGAAGAAUAGCAUAUUUAUAAAUGGUUACCAACUGAAAAAC
ensembl:lncRNA